GAUGACGCUGGCGGUCUGCUUAACACAUGCAAGUCGAACGACUCUUCGGAGUGAGUGGCGGACGGGUGAGUAACGCGUGAGAAUCUGCCUGUGGGUCGGGGACAACCACUGGAACGGUGGCUAAUACCGGAUGAGCCGAAAGGUAAGAUUUAUUGCCCACAGAUGAGCUCGCGUCUGAUUAGCUAGUUGGUAAGGUAAGCGUACCAAGGCGACGAUCAGUAGCUGGUCUGAGAGGAUGAGCAGCCACACUGGGACUGAGACACGGCCCAGACUCCUACGGGAGGCAGCAGUGGGAAUUUUCCGCAAUGGGCGAAAGCCUGACGGAGCAAGACCGCGUGGGGGAGAAGGUUUUUGGAUCGUAAACCCCUUUUGUCAAGGAGAAGCUCUGACGGUACUUGACGAUAAGCCUCGGCUAAC
rnacentral:rRNA from 1 species